CCUACGGGCGGCCGCAGUGGGGAAUAUUGGACAAUGGGGGGAACCCUGAUCCAGCCAUGCCGCGUGUGUGAAGAAGGCCCUCGGGUUGUAAAGCACUUUCAGUGAGGAAGAACGCCUGGUGGUUAAUACCCAUCAGGAAAGACAUCACUCACAGAAGAAGCACCGGCUAACUCCGUGCCAGCAGCCGCGGUAAUACGGAGGGUGCGAGCGUUAAUCGGAAUUACUGGGCGUAAAGCGCGCGUAGGUGGCUUGAUAAGCCGGUUGUGAAAGCCCCGGGCUCAACCUGGGAACGGCAUCCGGAACUGUCAAGCUAGAGUGCAGGAGAGGAAGGUAGAAUUCCCGGUGUAGCGGUGAAAUGCGUAGAGAUCGGGAGGAAUACCAGUGGCGAAGGCGGCCUUCUGGACUGACACUGACACUGAGGUGCGAAAGCGUGGGUAGCAAACAGGAUUAGAUACCCCGGUAGUC
rnacentral:rRNA from 1 species